rnacentral:lncRNA from 1 species
UUGUGUUUGGGUGUUAUUAAAAAAACAAUAUAUAUAUAUAUUAGUAUUUCAUAUAGUACACAAAAAUUGUGUGCUUUCUUCUCUGAUUAGGCUAGAAUCGAAAUUGGUGUCCACACACAUUAGUAGUUGUUUUUGAAGAAUACGAAAGGAUCUAACGAUGGAAGCAGGAAUCAAAUCUUAAAUACCAGGACAUGUCGAAUUUGGGCUACUAAGAUUUUAUAGAUCUAUCAAAUUUAUGUAAGUUCAUUUUUCAAAAAACUUUUUGAUGGUAUUUUAUAUCGAAUUUUGUAAGAAUACAUAGAUAUCGUGAUAAGAUUAUGUUUCAUGAAGUUGCACAUAUUAAAAUCUUGAAAAAUGUUACAAUGUUUCCUAAAAAAACCACAAAUUUAUACAUAUCACCAUUAUUAAGAAUAUUAUUUUAAGAUAUUUUAUUUUGUGGGUUCAGCUACUCUUUAAGCAUGAAUUUAUUAAUAUUAAUAUUCUAGAAGAAGUUUGUGAUCUCAUUGUUCCUCCUACAAAGUUUCUAAAACAUAUUUUCCCAGCAGUCAAGUGUCACUCUGACUUAAACAGUAGAUGAGCGUAAUGGCAUGUUUGAUGUAAUUUCUUUAGAAUAAUUUAUUUAUUUAUUGAAAAGUGGAUUGAUAAAAAAUAGGAAAAAAUUAUGAAUUCAAAUGUAAACAUUGAAAGAAUGUGAUGCUCCUCCAGCUCUCUCCUUGGUUCUUUAGAGUAAACCUAGUCAUUUUAUCAAAAUACCCACUAUUCACUUUCUCCGUCAUUCCCUCAAAUCUCAAUAAGAACUUAGAAUUAUCGGAAUUCGGCGAGUGCCGUAUAUCUAAAACCCAUAAGAAAUUGGAGAUUUUCUGCUGUAAAUGUAAAUUAUUUACUAUCAGAAGUCACCCCAGAAGAGAAUUUGCAGGAAGUGGUCUCCUCAAGUGAUGAUGGUGUUUCUACAGUAAUAUAGGCUCUUCUUUUCAUUGCUUUCAUCGAUUUAGCCAUUCUUACAAUUGGGGUAAAUUUUAUUUUUAUGUUAGGAAAAAGAAGAGCGGCAAAAAUGGUAAAAUUAAAGCUGGACCCAGAGGUUUCGGGCAAAAGAUUGAAGAAUUUGAGGAUGACUCCUCCUCCUCCUCAGAGUAAAGAAAUGCACAUUUUGAUGUAACCUUGCCACAGCCUUUUACAAUUCUGGUAAAAGGAUUAUAGGGUACCAUGAUCAUUAAUUUAGUUGGUUUUUAGCAAUGGUGAAAUUGCAUGGCAGCAGCUUUAUCAGUUGUACAUUUCUUUUGAAGUACUUAUGAAUGUUGACCACCGACUUCCGGUCUCAUAAGAGUCAUUCGCAGGCCCCACUUUAGGCUGAUGUGAGCUCGGCCACAGUUCAAAUUGGUAUAUUACCGCCAUAAUUUUAAGGGAUAUAAUGAUUAUUCUUGUCAUAUCAUCUUCUCAAUCAUGUACACUUGUAAAGGAUGACGUCAUCAACACCUAAAACCACCAAUUCAAAGUCCCGGAUCUCCAACCUUUUGCAGGCCAUCAUUACCUAAGAAAAUAUUGGCACAUGACAAUCGACUUCGUCAACCAAUCACAAAAGAAUUCUGCAACUAAACUUCCCAGUUCGAUCUUGUAGCUGAUUUGAUUGAUUUGAUGUAAUUUCGACUAUGGUCAUGUAUAAAUAGUAGAGAAAUGGUUUUCUUGAAAGAGGGUGAACUUUCAUACAAAUGCACCACAUAAUUAUGCCUUCUCGAUAUACAAUUGUAGUAUUUUUCAUAAUAAGGGGAGAUUGCCAUUUUUCCUAAAGUUGACUGGAGAUUAAUUCUUACAAAUUUUGACAUCAAC